rnacentral:rRNA from 1 species
AUGAAUUUGAUUGAGUUUCCCUUACUUGACCAAACAAGUUCCAAUUCUGUUAUUUCAACUACACCAAAUGAUCUUUCGAGUUGGUCAAGACUCUCCAGUUUAUGGCCCCUUCUAUAUGGUACCAGUUGUUUAUUCAUUGAAUUUGCUUCAUUAAUAGGCUCACGAUUCGACUUUGAUUGUUAUGGAUUGGUACCAAGAUCAAGUCCUAGGAAGCAAACCUAA